AUACGUAGGGGGCAAGCGUUGUCCGGAGUAACUGGGCGUAAAGGGCGCGUAGGCGGAAUAAUAAGUCAGUUGUGAAAGAUAUGGGCUCAACUCAUAGAACGCAUCUGAAACUGUUAAAUCUGGAGUAUAGGAGAGGGAAACGGAAUUCCUGGUGUAGCGGUGAAAUGCGUAGAGAUCAGGAAGAACAUCAGUGGCGAAGGCGGUUUCCUGGCCUAAAACUGACGCUGAAGCGCGAAAGCAUGGGUAGCGAACAGGAUUAGAUACCCUGGUAGUCCAUGCCGUAAACGAUGGAUACUAGGUGUGGGUAUCGCAAGAUAUCCGUGCCGCAGUUAACGCAAUAAGUAUCCCGCCUGGGGAGUACGGCCGCAAGGUUGAA
rnacentral:rRNA from 1 species